GCAGCCUCCCCGAUCCAAACACCCGUGGGCAGCCGGAUCCAGUCCGCCGCGACGCCCCGCAGCAGAAAAACGCCCACACCCACCACCACGUCCCGCACCUUAUCCCCACUUUCUCUUCUUCUCUCCCCCGAGUCAACGCACCACCCCGCACCGCACGCCAACUCCCUCUCCUUCCCACCUUCUUCCUCGCCGCCGGGCCGCCAUGGCCAUCCCCGCCUUCCACCGCUCCGACCUCCCACCGCCCCGUGACACCCCGGCCUCCCACUGCCCCGGCCGCCCCCACCUCCCAUAGCUCAGCGCCCUACCGUGACUCCCCGGUAGCCACACCCCCCGGCGCCAGAUCCGAGCGGCAGGGGCCCUACGGUGCUGCUCUCCCCGCGCAUACGACGCCACCCAUCCGCCGGAUCAGAUCUGCCAGCUCUAUACUCCGCCCCCAUCUAAUUUCUGCUCCUUGGACGCAUCACUGCCACCGGCCGACCCGACCCAGCGCACCACCGCUCCGCCCAACCCGACCCAGCACCUCGGGAGGAGCCGGACCCCCACCACCGCGCCUUCCCCUAGUGGCUUUUCCCCGACCACCACUCCCGCCCCUUCUUGGAUCAUCUCAUCCUCAAAAUUGUCGUCGGUGACCUCCACCUCACCGGUGACUUGUGGCUCUCGCGGCGUCGCCAAAAAACGUGUGAAGUGUCGCGAUGGUGCAAUCCGGCGGGGUAGUCUGUGCAGUGCUCACAUGCCACAGCAGCGCCACCUCCGACCUCGCACAGCAGCCGUGUGUCCUGCAGGUCGCCCCAUCCUCAAUGGCCGUGAAGACGACCAUGCAGUUCAGAAAAAAGUUUCUUUGUUGCUUUUUUUAUAGGUUUUCGAUGUGCAGAUCACCUCGUGAGAUAACAGUGCAGUCCGUCCGCUUCUGGCGCGCUCUACUAAUUUUUCUGUUCUAGCGACAUGGUGGAUUGGGUGCUCAACCGAUGCAAUUCAGUUUUUCUAGUGUGUUUAGUUUUACAGUGUGGUGCAGCUCACUCUCUUUGUUUUGCAGCUCACUCUUUUUUUGUUUUGCAGCUCACUCUUUUUCUCUUCUGGAAAUCAUUUGCAGUGCACUCAGUAAGAAAGAGAAGAGAACAUCGAUGUUCAUUUGAAGUUUGUUUUGUUGUUUAUGGGAAACGCAAAGAGAAAGGGGUAGUAAAAAUGGAUGGUCAUUUUGUAUAAGCAAGUCUUUGCCUAGUGCAGUUCUGUUGGGUACUGCAUCGUUGAUUCUGAUGUGUACUAGAUGGCUGUGUGGUUGUGUAAAAAUAAUGAAUGGAUAUGUAUGUUUUUAAGCUCACUUUGUUCUCUCAUGCAAU
rnacentral:rRNA from 1 species